rnacentral:rRNA from 1 species
ACGCUGGCGGCGUGCUUAACACAUGCAAGUCGAACGAUGAACCACUUCGGUGGGGAUUAGUGGCGAACGGGUGAGUAACACGUGGGCAAUCUGCCCUUCACUCUGGGACAAGCCCUGGAAACGGGGUCUAAUACCGGAUAACACUGCGGAUCGCAUGGUCUGCGGUUAAAAGCUCCGGCGGUGAAGGAUGAGCCCGCGGCCUAUCAGCUUGUUGGUGAGGUAAUGGCUCACCAAGGCGACGACGGGUAGCCGGCCUGAGAGGGCGACCGGCCACACUGGGACUGAGACACGGCCCAGACUCCUACGGGAGGCAGCAGUGGGGAAUAUUGCACAAUGGGCGAAAGCCUGAUGCAGCGACGCCGCGUGAGGGAUGACGGCCUUCGGGUUGUAAACCUCUUUCAGCAGGGAAGAAGCGAAAGUGACGGUACCUGCAGAAGAAGCGCCGGCUAACUACGUGCCAGCAGCCGCGGUAAUACGUAGGGCGCAAGCGUUGUCCGGAAUUAUUGGGCGUAAAGAGCUCGUAGGCGGCUUGUCACGUCGAUUGUGAAAGCCCGAGGCUUAACCUCGGGUCUGCAGUCGAUACGGGCUAGCUAGAGUGUGGUAGGGGAGAUCGGAAUUCCUGGUGUAGCGGUGAAAUGCGCAGAUAUCAGGAGGAACACCGGUGGCGAAGGCGGAUCUCUGGGCCAUUACUGACGCUGAGGAGCGAAAGC